rnacentral:rRNA from 1 species
UAACACAUGCAAGUCGAGCGAAGUGUUUAAGACUGAUCCCUUCGGGGCGACGUCUUAAACAUCUUAGCGGCGGACGGGUGAGUAACGCGUGAGAAACCUGCCUUUCACAAAGGGAUAGCCUCGGGAAACUGGGAUUAAUACCUUAUGAUACUUAUGAUCCACAUGGAUUUUAAGUUAAAGCGUAAAGCGGUGAAAGAUGGUCUCGCGUCCCAUUAGUUAGUUGGUGAGGUAACGGCUCACCAAGACAACGAUGGGUAGCCGGCCUGAGAGGGUGAUCGGCCACACUGGAACUGAGACACGGUCCAGACUCCUACGGGAGGCAGCAGUGGGGAAUAUUGCACAAUGGAGGAAACUCUGAUGCAGCGACGUCGCGUGAACGAUGAAGGCUUUCGAGUCGUGAAGUUCUGUCCUAGGGGACGAUAAUGACGGUACCCUAGGAGGAUCCCGGCUAACUACGUGCCAG